rnacentral:lncRNA from 1 species
UACAUGCUCUCUCUCCUUUUUUUUUUCUUUUUUCAGGAUUCAUAAGGCCAAGGACCCUGCAAAAGUUUCCUUUCGUGUGCACUCAUUGGGAUACCUAUUUUGCCAAGUGCUGACUCCUAUUUUUUUCCGAGCGAUCAGCUGUCUCUUUUUUGCUUACCUUGCUACACCUCUAUUUUUAAUACCCCGGUCACUCUUUCAAAUGCCUCGGGGAAGUAAGUCGGAGGUUCACUGGGAACAGGGAGAGGAAGAGAUUUACGGCAAUGUUUUCUGCAGGCUAAACCCGGAGUUUUAUAACGAUGGACCCUUUGCAGAGGAAUCCCCAAAACAGAACAUUAAGGUACCCAGCGCUGAGUCACUGACACGUAUAUUUCUGCCUAAAUCGUAAAGCAAAAAUCCUAGAAGCUUAGCUCAUUUGAUCAAAAUCAUAUUUGUCAAACAGCGGUUUCUCUUCUCUCAACACUCCCUGACAAUUUAUCCCGUGAGUUGCUUAGAACAGAUAAAUGUUAAUUUGUUCUCAAAGGCUUGAGUCCUCAUGAGGUGAAUGACUGUGCGUCUCCUUGGUAAUUCAUAGGUCGCCAAGUUAGAAAUCUGAGAUGCCGCCUCAUACGCGUGAAGCUUCUUCUCGACCUGCUGGUACCCUUGCUGUGAAGAAAAUAUGCUGCGAUGUGGCAAGACACAAUCGCAGAAAAGGAAACCGACGGGAAGACGUAACCCUGGUGAGCAACCUCAGGUAAUGCCAACGCGUUUUGUGCUUUAGUGUGUGGACAUCUCAUUUGACCCUCAAGUGUUGUGAGGUAUUAUUAUUCCAUUUUCCAGACGAGGAAACUGAGGCCUCACAAAGGCAAAUGAUUGUUGGAGAAGAGGAAGGUGAAAAGCAAAGGAAACCGUAUUUCUCUGAAGCCAAAGCCCUUACUCAUUCUUUGCAUCAUCCUGCUUCCAUAACGAAUGUCAUGCAUGGAGGCGUAGAUUUGCUGUUCCAGAAGCAUAUCAUUUUGCGUUUAGAAUUGUUUCUGGUGACGUGAUAGAUGUCGCUCCUUACUCCUCAGGGUUGAAGUUGAGGGUUCUGCAGGGAGGGAGCGGGGAAGAAGAUUUUUGAGACGUUUUCUGGGGUGCAUUAUUUAUAAUCCUAUUUGCUGAGUUUAUUGUCUUACCGAUGGAUGAAGAGCUUCAAUAUCUCAGUUGUUAUUUGGAAUUUUCUAGGGAAAGAGAUGCUUGCCACAACCUCCGACCUUCAUGUAGAACCCUAGCCUUAUUGGAAUAUGCUCCUAUAAAACACAAUUCAUCCCAAACAUGGCGUUUCAACCUUUUUGUUUGAUAAGUAUGAAUUUCUCCAGUUUGUGAACUAAGCUGGCACCUCUUUUAAGUCCGAUUCCUCUGUUUUUUCCAGCCUGAUUAUGCACGGAAUCUCAUUCAAAUGAACUAGAAUUUCUCUGAGCAACGUUGGGUGUAAGAGGUUCCAAACAGAAUUGGACCUUGGCUGUUAAAUGGUAUGCGAGAUGCUAUCUGUUGUCUUUGUGCUUUUAUGAUUGUACUGACUUAUCAUCUGCACUGUCAGUGACCUUCAGGAAAAGAAAUGUAGAAUACACAGAGGAAUUUUCAUUACUUGAAAAAUAGUAAGUGAAGUGAUGACAGAUGGAUAACGAAUACAUGGUUUGUGCCAAGUAACACUUUUUCCUUAAAAAUUUUUUUUCGAAGCAUCUUUAUUUCAUUGUAAACCAGAAAUUGUGACUUUUUUUUUGCCUCCUAAGUAUCUGUGUUAAUGUUAACGUGUUUGCAGUUGUAUUCCAUUCAUUUUUAAUAGGAGCAUUAAAUAAAGAUGAUUCAUUUUAGCUGGAAUUUAAAAUA